GUGCUCACUUUGGCAGCACAUUUACUAAAUGGAAUGAUACACAGAGGAUUAGUAUGAUACCUUUGCAAAGAUGACACAUAAAUUCAACACAUAUUAUUUUUUUUA
ensembl:snRNA U6 U6 spliceosomal RNA